rnacentral:tRNA from 1 species
GGACUUGUAGCGCAGACUGGAUAGCGCGCCUGCCUUCUAAGCAGAGGGUCGUGGGUUCAAAUCCCACCAAGUCCA